rnacentral:tRNA from 1 species
UGUCCCAAUAGCUCAGCUGGAUAGAGCAUGCGCCUUCUAAGCGCACGGUCGGGGGUUCGAAUCCCUCUUGGGACGUCCA